rnacentral:rRNA from 1 species
UUUGAUCCUGGCGUCAGGACGAACGCUGGCGGCGUUGCUUAACACAUGCAAGUCGAACGAGGAUCAGGGAGAGCUUGCUUGAACUGAUUCGAGUGGCGGACGGGUGAGUAACGCGUGAGCAACCUGUCUCACACAGGGGAAUAACGCAUCGAAAGAUGUGCUAAUACCGCAUAGGACCACGGAAGGACAUCCUUCUGAGGUGAAAGGAGCAAUCCGGUGUGAGGUGGGCUCGCGUCUGAUUAGAUAGUUGGUGAGGUAAACGGCCCACCAAGUCAACGAUCAGUAGCCGACCUGAGAGGGUGAUCGGCCACAUUGGGACUGAGACACGGCCCAGACUCCUACGGGAGGCAGCAGUGGGGAAUAUUGGGCAAUGGGCGCAAGCCUGACCCAGCAACGCCGCGUGAAGGAAGAAGGUUUCGGAUCGUAAACUUCUGUCCUUGGUGAAGAGUAGCAGACGGUAGCCAAGGAGGAAGCCCGGCUAACUACGUGCC